rnacentral:lncRNA from 1 species
CCUUCUUUCAAGGUGCUGGACUGCUCAAAUUUUAUUAGCAUAGGUAACAGUUUAUAUAGACAGCUUAACUGUAACUUACAUCACAAUGUUUACAUCAUACUUUCAAAGGUUAAAUUUUAGACUAUGUGGUACAGAAGAUACACAUUGUGCUCUAAGAAUUUUAGUUAAAACUAAUGGAUACAAUGCAUCAUGUAAAAUUAUAAUGGGUACAAAACAUUAUGCUGAAAAAUCAUUAUAUAAAAAUAAGGCAAUUCAGUAUAAAACGGCUUGUGGUUACUUUUAGCAAGCACCACCCGUUAUUGUUUUAAGCUAAUCUUUAACAACUAGAAAGGUCACAAGUACAAGAAUUUAACAUUUACAAAAACUCAUUUUUUAGAUUAAAGCUUAAGGUACUAACUUCAAGGUAUUACAGUCAGGGGACAGUAUGAGAAAAUAUUUUAUAUAUCAAAGCAACUUAGUUUCAUAAAACUUAAAAGCUUCCUACAAAACUUAUUAAAAGCAAGAUUAUAUUUUCCGUCAAGAAUGAUGUAUGUCUAACCUAUUGUAACCUAUUGUACACUCCACAAAUACCUAACUCUAAAACCUAUUUUUACUUGUAACAAACCAGUGAACACUUUGUUUUUGCUUGUAUUAGAUCUGAAUAGGGGGAAUUUCACCAAGGUGAAACUCAUUCCAAUUUUUUUGUUGUUCCAAUUUUAUUGAAACACAAAACAAUAUAGAAAAAUAACAAAGAAUAACAAACAAAUAACAGAAAAGGCUGAGUAAUAAGUAAAUAACAGGAAAGACUGAAUUUUCCAAGAAGCAAUUUUUAUUCUUGCACUAUUGUGCAAAACCUUCGUUUUGUUAUUGUUGCCGCUGUAGUCGGGUUAGCAGGUGAGCCUCAUUAUUUUUAUAACUUGCCCUUGGAACUGUGCCACUGGGUAAGCCCCUUUCCCUAUUUCUAAACCGACCCUUGGAACUGUGCCGGUGGGUAGGCUCUUUUCCCUCGGUUAGGAACCCUGCCUUUGGAACUGUGCCAUCAGGCUAGUUCCCUUCCUUGGCCUCCUGUGUCUCCUUGGCUCCCCGCAGUCACCAGUCAGGGCAAUGAAUUUAGAUAAGGAUGGAGAUGGUCCAUUGCCGCCUGCCUCCCCCCAACCUGUUGGAGCUGGAAAGUGGAUCAGGAAAGAGAACACAGGUCAGGGUGAGGAGGGGACAUGGGGGGCAGGGCUGGGCCAGGGUCCCCACCUCCUCUCAUGAUGCUCAUAGGAACACAGACACACUCAAAUGCUGCUGCAGAAACAGGAGGCAGGGGAUCCGAAGUCACAAAGUGGGAUGUGAACGAAUCUCAUAACACUCAGUCCCCACAAGGCAGCUGUCUCACACUGGGAAAGAAAAUCAUCAGGAAACAAGCAGGUCAGUCAAGGAAGGGCUGACAUGCUCAACAGCUCCACAUGCUCCAAACGUCCCCCUCAAAGGUCCCCGUCACCCAGGGCACCUCCUCUGCCCCAACCCCCCUCCCAUCUAGGCCCUCCAGGGUCUCACCUCUAGGAUCCUUGGUAAGGGACACAUCGGAGCCCUGGGCACUGUCACUGCCUGAGGGAGAGCAAAAGCAGGACAGGGUCAGUACCCCCAAGAGAGAAGACGGGAGAAGGUGGGUGAGCUCCCCCCACGGCCUCCUGUCUGCACCACCAGAGCCUCAGGCAUCACAACCCUCCACACUGACCUGCAGCCUGAGUGUAGCUCCCUCCUUUUUCACCUGUGGGAAGAUAACAUUUAUGUGAGAGGCCAAAAAGAAAACUGAGCCAUAAGAUCCUACAGGAAACUCUAGUCCUGGAUCUCACAACCAGUGUAGAACUUUCAACAAAAAUCCAGGACAGGAUCAGGGGUAUACAGCAAGGAGAUGUGGGGGAGACUGGACCAACUGCCCUCCUGGAGGCCUCUCCUCAGUGGGGUCCUUCCCCUCUGACCUUCAAAUGCUGAGAAACUAGACGCCAACUGGAAUUAUCCUGGGGAAUAAUUAGUCUUUGACUAUCAAAUGUGCUUCACAGAAGGGUA